rnacentral:rRNA from 1 species
UUAACAAAAAUUAAUAUAUAAUAUCACACGAAGGGUGUUGAGCGUGAAUUAACCAAAUAUUAUAGUAUAUAAUACUAUAUGUGGCAUUAUAUAGAGUAUAUGUUUAAUUAGGGGUGAAAGGCUUUCCAAAAUAUCCGAUAUCUUGUUUUUUAGGAAAACUAUUAAGUAGAUAAUUCAACCUUGAAGUGGUGAGGUUUCAAGGUAAUACGAAGCUUGGGUUUACUAAAGUAAAUUGUUUAACAAUAAUUACUUUUAUAAUCCUAAUAUUAGUUAUCUUACGCUUGUAUAAUAUUACUAAAAUGUAUUUGACAACUAGUUAGAAUAAUAUCACUGUUAAUAUGAGUAUUAUAUAAAUAAAUUUGAUGUAGGAACUCGGCAAAGGUGCUACUCAACUGUUUACCAAAAACAUAGCCAGGUGCUUUUAUACUUGGUUACUUCUGCUCAAUGGUAAACUAAAUAGCCGCAGUACCCUGACUGUGCAAAGGUAGCAUAAUCAUUUGGCUUAUAAUUGAAGUCUGGCAUGAAAGAAAUUAUGGGUAGCAACUGUCUUCUAUAAAUUGUUAGAAUUUACUAAGUAGGUGAAAAUUCCUAUAGACUUAUAAUAGACGAGAAGACCCUAGAAAUUUUAAUAUAAAAGUAUCUUAUUUAUUUACUAUUUUGUUGGGGCGACAGAAUAACAGUUGAACUUAUUUUAAUCAAUUUGGACUAAUUUUUGGGAAAAGUUAAAUUACUCUAGGGAUAACAGCAUAAUUUAUUAAAGUUUGUGACCUCGAUGUUGGACUAGGGUUUUUAAUAAUCAGAAGUUAUUAAGCUUAGCUCUGUUCGAGCUUUAUUUCCU